rnacentral:rRNA from 1 species
CGUGGGUGAAGAAGGCCUUCGGGUUGUAAAGCCCUUUUGUUGGGAAAGAAAAGCAGUCGGUUAUACCCGAUUGUUCUGACGGUACCCAAAGAAUAAGCACCGGCUAACUUCGCGCCAGCAGCCGCGGUAAUACGAAGGGUGCAAGCGUUACUCGGAAUUACUGGGCGUAAAGCGUGCGUAGGUGGUGGUUUAAGUCUGUUGUGAAAGCCCUGGGCUCAACCUGGGAAUUGCAGUGGAUACUGGGUCACUAGAGUGUGGUAGAGGGUAGCGGAAUUCCCGGUGUAGCAGUGAAAUGCGUAGAGAUCGGGAGGAACAUCCGUGGCGAAGGCGGCUACCUGGACCAACACUGACACUGAGGCGCGAAAGCGUGGGGAGCAAACAGGAUUAGAUACCCUGGUAGUCCACGCCC